CAGUAGCCGCGGGAAUACAGAGGGUGCGAGCGUUAAUCGGAUUUACUGGGCGUAAAGCGUGCGUAGGCGGCUAAUUGAGUCGGAUGUGAAAUCCCUGAGCUUAACUUAGGAAUUGCAUUCGAUACUGGGAAGCUAGAGUAUGGGAGAGGAUGGUAGAAUUCCAGGUGUAGCGGUGAAAUGCGUAGAGAUCUGGAGGAAUACCGAUGGCGAAGGCAGCCAUCUGGCCUAAUACUGACGCUGAGGUACGAAAGCAUGGGGAGCAAACAGGAUUAGAUACCCCUGUAGUCCCUGUCUCUUAUAC
rnacentral:rRNA from 1 species